GCCAGAUGCGGUGGCGCAUGCCUGUAGUCCCAGCUACUCGGGUGGCUGAGGCUGGAGGAUGUCUUGAGUCCAGGAGUUCUGGGCUGUAGUGGGCUAUGCGGAUCAGGUGUCCCCCCUAAGUUCGGCAUUAAUAUGGUAACCUCCCGGGAGCGGGAAACCAGGUUGCCUAAGGAGGGGUGAACCAGCCCAGGUCAGAAACGGAGCAGGUCAAAACUCCCAUGCUGAUCAGUAGUGGUAUCACACCUGUGAACAGCCACUGUACUCCAGUGUGGGCAACAUAGCAAGACCCCGUCUCU
rnacentral:SRP_RNA from 1 species